UGUGUAGGCGGAGCUGUAAGUCAGAGGUGAAAUCCUGCAGCUUAACUGUAGAACUGCCUUUGAUACUGCAGCCCUUGAAUAUCGGAGAGGUUACUAGAAUUCGUGGUGUAGCGGUGAAAUGCGUAGAUAUCACGAGGAAUACCAGAGGCGUAGGCGGGUAACUGGACGAUUAUUGACGCUGAGGCACGAAAGCGUGGGGAGCAAACAGGAUUAGAUACCCUGGUAGUCC
rnacentral:rRNA from 1 species